rnacentral:lncRNA from 1 species
AGGUCUAGGGUUAAGUAGCUCCCUGGUAAUUGUAGCCUAAGAUGUUGGAUUAUAGAUUUAGUCUAGUAGUAAUCUAUGUUGUCUCUUUUACGAGUUGCAUUCUCUUUGACAUAAGCAAGCAUUCAUAUUCAUAUCAUUUCAUGUAGAACACCUAGAAGAAGUGAUGUUUGAAGAAGGAGUUCACUUCAGUGCCUGUUGAUCCAGUGGUGGAGUUUCAUCUAACUACUUACCAGAGUAGAAUAAUUUUGGGAUUUUCUCCUGCAAUAAGGCAAGCCCCGGUGCAUUUGCCACCUUCCUUAUGUUUACAAAAUUUUAUCACUUAUAUGCUGCAUUAGGUGAUAGGAGUUGAUUGAUUAAACAAUUGAUGCAUUGCCAUCCUUGAAAGAUUGAUUACCAUACCUUGUCACCUGUUUUAUAAAAGCUAGAGAUGCUUAGUCAUGCUAAUAGACUAAGAAAAAUGUUUUUCAUCUAUGACUCAUGUUUUUACAAAAAGAAAAUGGGCUUGGGAUAAUGAAGGCAUCAAGACGUUGAUAAAUUCAUUAUCCAGGCAUGGCCCCUCUGUCAGGCGCCAAAAUUUUGAAAUAGUUUAAAAUGGGACCAGACGCUGAGCAGGAAAGGUCGUCCGUCUGUGUCGAUUAAGGACCGUACCGAUUGUUGGCCUGAUGAUCUAGGACCUUUUAACUGGCCACAUACCUCGUCAUGGGUAAGCCUGAACCCGGCUAUUCCAUACAUGAAAAGACAACCGCGCACUGGGCGUGGGAGAUGGUGGGAGUAGCAGUUACCCUCCUGGCAAGAGGCUGAAUGGUAGGGUAAUGUGCUCCCGGGUAGCGCGGACCAGUUCAUGUAGUGGAGGAUCCGUGGGAAUGGUUGACAUAUGCAAGGGUUAAGUGCUACAUAUGUCGUGUGGUUGGAGAUCCCCAGCUGGGUAUUAAUCGAUUCGGAUCGCCGUUACUUCUCGGGUAUGAAGACUGGAUCGCUGCCCUUCAUCGUAGAUAACAAGCGAAACAAAAUUUGGAUUUUAAAAGAAAGUUAGUAUAGGACAAGUGAAUGAUCUAGAUUAGGAAAUUGUUAGAUUCAAGCUAGAAGAUUCAGGUAAUAAACUAACUUGUGAAAUAAAACUUGGCUUAAGGACCUACUUCUAGUAAGCUUUUCUGCAAAAUGAGUCCUUGAACUUUGAUGAGCUUUACCUUGAUUCCCAAAAGCCAGCAUACCCUUGAGAGUCUUUUCUUUAGUCGGGUAAGUCUUGCUGAGUAAUUGCGUACUCAGGGUUUUAUCCCUUGUUGUUUUUGUAGGAGAAGUUUUAUUCCCUUAUCUUUAGGUUAGUUACUUCAUGUGGAGAACUUGAAGCUUAGAAGGUUUUUAUAUAUCUUUUAUGGAAAGGCUUCACCCUUCCAAUUAUUGUGAUAAGUUAUGCACUUCGAGUACUAUCAGGACUUGUAAUAAAUACAUCUCUUUCUACCAUGUAAAACUUGAGUUCUGGAAUGUAAAGUGUACUUUGUAGAAGUCUUCCGCUCUAUCUCCAAUGUGUGUGUAUCAAAUGUGAUUACUGUAAUAUACCUGUUAUGUGGGAGAUCCUUGGGACGAUGAGUUCCAGUUGGCGAACUCGAUAGCCUUGUUAAGUUAUCCGGUACACGUGCACAGCCAUCUGAGGCCAUUAAGGCAAGGAUUGGUGCAUGUGGGCCUGAUAACUUGGGAGGGCUGUCACAGCGUGGUAUCGGAGCGAUCCCCCAUUAUCAUGGAUAUUAAAGUAAUCCUUUGAUAUACUUCAAAAGGAUUUUGAGUCCAAACUAUUUUGGAAAAACUUAAGAAUAUGAUCAAAUCCUGAUAGUCAAAGUGCAAAUAGUAUAUAGUUAAGUUAAGAACUAUAAGGUGGCUUAGUUUAAGAUGCUAAUCACUAACCCACAACCUGGGAAGGGUAAUGCAUACAUGUGUAAUGUUAUUUUUAGUGUCAUUCAGUUUUGAAUGGAUCAACGCUCAGGUAAGGUGAGAUGCGAGAGCAUGACCGAAAAAACGUCGGUCUAGGGGAGUGCUUAAUUGUGGCGCUUGAUUAUAUACAUCUUCCACAUAUGUAUAUAUGAAGGCUGCGAUGUGGAGUAAUUACUUUUCCGGGAUUUAGUACCCCAUGGAUGUGUAUGGCUAUACAGACAUGGGAAUACUAAAAAGUGUAAUGUACUCGCAACGACGCACCUACGCGCAGGUAAGGAAGUAAGUUACCACAAUGGGCUGCCCUGUAGUUAAAAGUGUGGCAGCGGCGCCUAUGCGUGGCUCGGCGCUUAAUGAGGAGCUGGCCUCCAUAUAGUAAUAUAUGGAGUAUAAACUAUGACCAAAUGAGUGUUUGCAUCAUGGUUUUGGGCUGUAAUGGAAUUUUUUUUGCAGGUACACUGACUAAACUCUAGGAAAUUACGACUAGUUAACUCCGGAGUGAGUAGGUAUGCCACCGCCAUAGAGCGUGCAAGCCACUAUAUGCUGGCAAGAUUGUGAGGACGAAUAGGACGAGCAUGCAUCAUGACAUAUAACUUUAAGUUAAACCCCCUAUGUAGUAGCUUUAGUACGUGUUUCGUCUACCUUGUUCAUGUUGUCUGUCUUUGCCUUUCUAUGCUACCUUUACUUGUUUUUGAAGACUAGAAGCCAAGUUUAGUUGGUGGGCAGAAUACCUUGCGCUGCAGCUAGAAGGACGUUAAGUUCUCGGGUUGAGUUCUGGGAGGUAUUUCGGGCACGCCAUGUUCCAGAAGCCCCUACGUAAAUAAAGUUCAAAGCGUUUUUGGAUCUAAAGCAAGGUGAAGAAGCGAGUGUAAUGGACUAUUUGAGAGGUUUACUCGCCUAUCCUAGUAUGUUUUGGAUUAUGUGGAUGCCAGUGAAAAAAAAAGUAAUACAUCCUACGUGAUCUUAAUAUGAAACUUUAGCUCCUGAUGGCAAUUAGUUUGGUUGAAGGAUAUAAGGAGAUGGUCAGUGAGGCUAUUCUAGGAAAUAAUAAGAUUCGUCUACAUUAGGAGUUUAAGUGAAAGAAGUAAAGGAUAUACCUGAUGUGAGGGAGUUCUCGGAUGUGUUCCUCGAAGAUUUGACUAGUUGCCUCCAAAAAGGGAUGUGGAAUUGCGAUUGGGUUGCAGUCCGGGACUCCAUUCACCCUAAAGGUAGCAAUAGGUACCAAGAUUUGAAACAGAGAUUUUGGUGGACCUAUAGCUUAUAAGGUACAGUUGCCAAAAGGACCUUCAACAGUGCACGACGUGUUCCACGUGUCCCAAUGGAAUAAAUGUCUUCGAGUCCCCAAAUAUGUUAUUGAAAUUUUAGAUGUUAACCAUAAACCAGGUUUAACCUCCUCGGAAUAUCCCAUAAAUGUGUUAGAUCAAAAGGAUCAGGUCACUCGAAGAAAAGUUAUUGAGUUUUACGAGAUACAAUGGAACUAACACCCGGAAGAUAAAGUCACGUAGUAGUCAGAGAAGUAUUUGGAAAAGUAUAUUCCUGAGUUCCUAGUGUCUUGGAAACCGUAGGUUUGUAUAAGUUGUCUUUUGAUGGGGUCACACCCCCUGCCUUGUAGGAGUAAUUAGGAAAUAAACCGGUGACACAUUUCCUUUUCCAUUCCUUGACCUAUUUAAUCUCGGGACGAGAUUCCUUUUUAGGGGGGAAGAAUGUAACACCCCUGGUGUUACAAGAACUAAAACUUUGGCAUGACAUCAUACGCAUCCGCAUCAUCUUGCUUGAUAUCCCUAGAAUGCAUUUUACUAGGUCAAAAAUUCAACUCAAAUAUGGUGUGUUAUGUUGUUGGGAGCCAGGGAAGAUUAAAAACCCGGUUUGCAAUCAAGUUUAAGUGCACCACUUUUAAACCAAUGGAAAUUUGGACAUGAGAUAUAUACACCAAAGUGGGAUCUUAGGUUAAGGAGUAACUCUACUCUUAAGUGAUGAACCCAAAGUGGUGAGAUUGUUGGAGAAAAGCAAUCCCAAUUGAAACCUUAAACUAGCCCAAAAGUGGAUUUUAAGAUCUAGUUAUGUUUUGCUAAAAGUCCAUAUACCAAAGUUAUGGAGCUUGGAAAAGUGAACAAUUUUCAUAUUUGGAGCUCUCCAAGUGGUGUGGAAGAAUUUGAAGUAAAUUGCAAAAGUUCAGAUUUGGGUCGGUUUGGAAUCAGCCCAAAACAGUUUUGUUUAUCUGUUUUUGGAUUCCUAUAACUUUUAAUCCAUGAGUAUUUUGAAAACAGUUGCUAUAACAAACCUGUAGAAUAACUAUAGGAGAACAAUGUUUAUGAGAUGUGGUAGCCCUAAAACCGUAUAAAACUAGGCGUAAAACUAGUGCAAAGUGGGAAUAUCAGAAUCUGAAUUUCAGACUGCAAUAUCUGAAACUGAAGAUUUUAUAUUCUGAAGCAACUUUGAAAGCCUGUUGGUGGCUGAUCCAUACAUCUAUGGGUUAAAGUUUAUGUACCAAAGUGGAAGACCACAUGUUGGGGUAUAAGUUUGGUUAAUGGUCAUACCCCUGAAACUAUUUGGAACUGGUAGAAAGAGUGGUUCAGAAAUGUAAUGUUUGCUUCUGGGUUUCAGACUUUGUAAGAAAACCUAGUCUGAAUUUGGGUAUUUGAUGCAACCUUUGGACUUUGGUACUUUGGAAUCCAUGAGUGUUUUGAGAAAGAUUGUUAUAGAAAACUUGUAGAGUAGGUAUUGGAGGACAAACUCUAUUAGGUGGGAUGCCCCUAAAACCAUAUGCAAUUAGGAGCAAAGGUGGUCACAAGUGGAGCUGACACAUUUGGAUUUGAGACUUAGUGCAGCUUACUAAAUCUGAAUUUUAGUGUUUUUGGUGCAACUUUGGAGCUUCUUUGGAGCUUCUUUGUGCCUGAUCCAUGGAGUUAUGGGGUAUAUCUCUGCAGGAAAGUUGAAGACCAUAUAAUGGUGAUCAAAUCUUCUUAAGAAAGUUUUGUUUUCUGCUGCACAAAAAUUGAGUAAGCUGUGCCCAACCAUUCUUUGUCAGGCAUGUGUGUUCAGUUUCUUGUUCAGUUAGCUGCAGCUGAAUUCUAGUGUUUUUACCCAACUUCAGGUUACUAUAACUUUUGAUCCAUGAAGUUAUAGCCUGCGCUCUCUAUAUAAAACUGUUAGAGGGUAGUGUGUUGAGUAAUUUUCAUUAAGGUGAAUCCCCUUGACCUAGCCUAGAAAUAGGAGAAAAUAGUGUCUAAAAACAUGCUAUCAGGCUCCAGAUUUCAGACUUAGUUCACUUGGCAGAAACUGAAUUUUAGUGAGUUUUGCUCAACUUUGGAGCCUUUUGCCACUCAUCCACGGAGUUAUUAGACAUAUUCUCUAUAGAAAAGUUAGAGACCAGGUAAUCUUACGUAAUUUUUAUUAAGAAAUUGUGUCCUGUUGUUGGUUAGAAUCGGGAGAAAAUGUUGUUCCAAGAUGAGCUGUCAGGCAAAUUGUGCACUGAGCAUUAUUCAGUUAGUGGUGCUGAAAUUCAGUGUUUCAUCUCGUUUUGUAGCAUUAUAACUUUUGGUCUGUGUGUUUUCGACCAAGGUUUGCUGCAGGAAAAUUGUAGAGCUAUGUAUAACGAACAAGUUUUGUUAACCGAGGUUGACCUGUUUCCAUUGGAAUCAUGUGAUGAAAGUGGGGAGAAGAUGGGGGUUCACUUGGGUGGCAAGUUCAGUUCAGGUGGCUGAAACUUUGGUUCAGCCUGCUUGAUUUAAUUUGGAGAGCGGAGUGUUGGUGUUUAAACUCCUCAUUCCCUUUGUUUCAGCCGAGACCUGGUUGGGGCCGUGUGACAGUGAGCCAACGUUGGCAAAAGAAAGGCCCGGCGUAGGCAAUAGAAAUGGGCAAAGUUGAGGCAAAAUGGAUAGAGUUAAGAGGUGGAGUCUCUGCUCUAUUCUGAUAAGAACGCCAAUGCACGAGCUCGGUGUAUUUUCCAUGCAAGGCCACGCAGCUGCUUGCCUCUUGCGAUGGCAUGUGGCGUGUCGUGAGCUGGGAAAUAUACUAAUAUCUUCAUCGGGAUAAGCUCGGUUCAGCGUGUUCUUUUUUUUGUCUAGCAACGUCGUCAGCCAGGGUGUCGAGCUCCCAGGCGCUUGCUCCUGGUGUUCCCAGCUCGUGGCUGCCUCCUCUUUGCAUCGCAGUUCUCCCAGCCGUCGUCUAUCUCACGCAAGCAUGAAACCGUUCAGCCGUCACCCUCCUCGCCCUGAGCUCCACCCACCUCGGUGAAGGCCACCGUCCCCUUCUUCACUGUGCACUCGGCAUCAGCUUCCUGGUGCACACCGACACAACGCUCUGGUCGCGCGCCCUCCAUCGCACGCUCGGACACUUGCCCCUGUUCAUCACCUCGGGACUUUGCCGUCACCCGUACUUCGCUGGUUGUCAACUUUGAUGGCUGUGUUCAACCUCCAGCCAUGUCACCAUCGUGCCCUUCAUCCGUUCCAAGGUGAGGCCUCCCAGCUUCGAUCUUCAGUGAGUGCAGCAACUUUUAUUAGUGGUCAAUGUCAUUCAGUGGUUGUGAUCUCUAGAGCACGAAAUGGUUGUGUAUAUUCUAGAUCAAGUAUAAUUGUUUUGUGCACUUCGUAUUUGGAGUCACGCCGGUGUAUUGUGUCUCUGGUCGGAACUUGGAAGUCGACUAGCGGCUUGCACCAUCGGCGUCAAUCAUGUGGCUAUACGUGUGAAUCGCAGCGCUGCAACUAGUUGAAAAUGAAGGGAACUAGAUCAUAUAGAAUAGUGGAGUGCAGAACGUCGAUCGUCGGGUUCUCUGUAUAUUGCCCGGAUUUGAUUCGUCACCAUUUUGGCGAACCUCCACUCGACUUCGGUAUUAUGUAAGCUUAGAUUCAGUCGCUGUAAGGUUUGGUUCAUUUUGGGGCAUAUUCAUUUGGUCGUCAAAUAUCCACUUAAUUAUAAAUACUUUUGCCAUUAGUGAAAUAAAUCACUCAAUGAAAAUAGAGCAAUAAAAAUUGCGGGAAAUUUUGUGUAAGUUUAUCUUGAACAAUUAGCUCCUGGGUAAAGUUUGAAGUUGUUUGGACAUGGUUUGCUUAGCAAACUAAUUGUUGCUCAUAAUAGAAAAAGGAUUUUAACCUUGAGUACUUGGGCACCUAGUGUCUUAAUGAAGUGAUGAGGUGGCUUAACAAGUUUUGGAGUGAUAGGUGAGGUCUAGGGUUAAGUAGCUCCCUGGUAAUUGUAGCCUAAGAUGUUGGAUUAUAGAUUUAGUCUAGUAGUAAUCUAUGUUGUCUCUUUUACGAGUUGCAUUCUCUUUGACAUAAGCAAGCAUUCAUAUUCAUAUCAUUUCAUGUAGAACACCUAGAAGAAGUGAUGUUUGAAGAAGGAGUUCACUUCAGUGCCUGUUGAUCUAGUGGUGGAGUUUCAUCUAACUACUUACCAGAGUAGAAUAAUUUUGGGAUUUUCUCCUGCAAUAAGGCAAGCCCCGGUGCAUUUGCCACCUUCCUUGUGUUUACAAAAUUUUAUCACUUAUAUGCUGCAUUAGGUGAUAGGAGUUGAUUGAUUAAAC